rnacentral:snRNA from 1 species
UUGGAACGAUACAGAGAAGAUUAGCAUGGCCCCUGCACAAGGAUGACACGCUUCUCCAGAGUGGUAGACCUACGGGUCUCAAUAUUUAU